GACGUAGGGCGCGAGCGUUGUCCGGAUUUAUUGGGCGUAAAGAGCUCGUAGGCGGCUUGUCGCGUCGUCCGUGAAAACCCACAGCUCAACUGUGGGCUUGCGGUCGAUACGGGCAGGCUAGAGUUCGGUAGGGGAGACUGGAAUUCCUGGUGUAGCGGUGAAAUGCGCAGAUAUCGGGAGGAACACCCGUAGCGAAGGCGGCGCUCUGGGCCGGUACUGACGCCGAGGAGCGAAAGCGUGGGGAGCAAACAGG
rnacentral:rRNA from 1 species